AAAACAUUCACACAGGAACAUACCCAUGCGACUAAAUACGUGUUCUAUGAUAGAAACUGCAAUAUAAAAAUCGAGAACAUCGGAGUCAACUUGUCAAAAUCGAAAGAGAGUUCAAAAGGCGUAAAGUAAACGAAUAUACUCGAUAGAAGUCACCAUGCUUGUACUUUCUCUGCUGGUUGUCACGGUUCUUGGCAUUUGACAGAAGCAUUAAAAAGAGCAGGAAGAUAUGAAGAGAAAGCCCUAGAAUCAAAAAAAGGAAUUAUUAAAGGAGUGUAUAAAGGAAAGAGAGAGAAACUGGGGAAAUGGCCAUGAAGGAAAAAGAGCAAGAAAGAGAAAGAAGAGACUAGAAGAGGUGAGAGGGGGGGGGACGCAAAUAGAGGCAAGAGAGGAGCAAGAAAGAAUGACAGCAGACCAAAUUAUAGAAGAAAGAAGAGAGAGAGAAGCAGAAGAGAGGGGGAAAAGGAUAAGGGAAUCUAAAUAUAAUAUACGCUACAAAAGUAUAGCCAAAGAAAAAUUACCAAAGUACUUAGAAGGGGAGGAUGAAGUGGAAAGACAGAAGAAUACUGGCAAGAUUCAGAUGUGGAAACGAGACCAAAGCAAGGGAAUACUGGAAGGAAGAGGAUGAAAAAAGAUGCAGAUUAUGUGAAAGGAAUGAAGAAGACCUGAGACAUGUAAUAGAAGAAUGUGAAAUAACGGGAGGACCAAAGGACAUAGGAAAAGUGCUAAAUGAGACAGGAGAAGGUUUAACAGAGCUGAAAGCAAUAAUAAAGAAGAGAAGGGCAAACGACAGGAAGGAUGCACAGCAAGGAGGCUAAAGCUCAAAGUUGCAAUAGUUUUUAGUCAUUAGUAGUUAAUUUGUAGUUCCUAGUUUUAGUUUUUAGAGAAUAGGAUAACUAAAGGGUGCAAUAGAAUAGAGUGGGAAAGAGGGGAGGUAGAUAUAUAAGAAAAGAAAUAGACAUAAGAGAUGUAAAAUCGAAAGUUCGUCCAAAGCCGAAAGGCACGGACUAAACAACAAUAAAUAAAUAUAUAAUAGGACAGAAAAAAUAACUAACGUUAUAAUAAUUUCAAACAAGAAUCAUCUAAUUGUGCCAUUAGUUACGGAUCAUUCUGUAUAUUAUUUGGACUGAAACUCCUUUAUAUCCUCAAAUAUUUAUUAACUAAAUAUCCUUUUUCGUAAAAAUUCAAAAAAAAGGCUUCGAUGCAAAACAGAUUGUAGGAAAAAUGAACAUGAACACAUAUGUGGAUCACUUUGCGAUCCAACUUGCGAUAGUAACGGUCAGGAACCGAAUCCUUUAUUGUGCCCUAAAAUCGUAAAUGUAUGCAGUAAACUCACUAAAGGUUAUAGGUGUGUAGAUGGCACUGUUCGAAACAAAAGGAACAAAACAUAUAUACCUUUGGAUGGUUGUCCGUAGCAAACACGCGCAUUACUUAUAAUUCAUCCGAAUUGAUCAAUUUUUAUAUGAGGUUAUCAACCUCGCAUUAUCAUACAUAUAUACAUACAUAUAAAUUUAUAAUUUUAUAACCCAUAAAAAGAUAGCAUAAAUAACUGAAUUCCAAAAAAAUGUUAUGUAACUGAAUUAAUGGAAUGAUCAGCAUAACAUUUCUGAGUAUUUAUAGGGCGAAGUAACUCUUUGUAUUAUAUCUGUAUAUGUAUCAAUAAACAACGUUCUUAAAGCAUA